rnacentral:rRNA from 1 species
CCUACGGGGGGCAGCAGUGAGGAAUAUUGGUCAAUGGACGAAAGUCUGAACCAGCCAAGUAGCGUGAAGGAUGACUGCCCUAUGGGUUGUAAACUUCUUUUAUAUGGGAAUAAAGUGUUCCACGUGUGGGAUUUUGUAUGUACCAUAUGAAUAAGGAUCGGCUAACUCCGUGCCAGCAGCCGCGGUAAUACGGAGGAUCCGAGCGUUAUCCGGAUUUAUUGGGUUUAAAGGGAGCGUAGGUGGAUUGUUAAGUCAGUUGUGAAAGUUUGCGGCUCAACCGUAAAAUUGCAGUUGAAACUGGCAGUCUUGAGUACAGUAGAGGUGGGCGGAAUUCGUGGUGUAGCGGUGAAAUGCUUAGAUAUCACGAAGAACUCCGAUUGCGAAGGCAGUUCACUGGACUGCAACUGACACUGAGGCUCGAAAGUGUGGGUAUCAAACAGGAUUAGAUACCCCAGUAGUC